rnacentral:rRNA from 1 species
GACGAACGCUGGCGGCGUGCUUAACACAUGCAAGUCGAACGGAAAGGCACUGAUUUUGUGCGGUGAUCGAGUGGCGAACGGGUGCGUAACACGUGAGUAACCUGACCUUGUCUUUGGGAUAACUUCAGGAAACUGGGGUUAAUACCGGAUAGGAGCUCAUGCUGCAUGGUGGGGGUUGGAAAGUUUCGGCGGUUGGGGAUGGACGGGCGGCUUAUCAGCUUGUUGGUGGGGUAGUGGAUUACCCAGGAUUUGACGGGUAGCCGGCCUGAGAGGGUGACCGGCCUCAUGGGUACUGAGAUACGCACCAGACUGCUACGUUAGACAGCGGUGGGGAAUAUGGCACAGUGGGAGGAAGCCUGAUGCAGCAACGCCGCGUGCGGGAUGACGGCCUUCAGGGAGUAAACCGCUUUCGCCUGUGACGAAGCUGUAGUGACGGUAAUGAGUAAAGAAGCACCGGCUAACUACGUG